GGGAUACACCCUGGAAACAGAUGCUAAUACCGGAUAACAACACUAGACGCAUGUCUAGAGUUUGAAAGAUGGUUCUGCUAUCACUCUUGGAUGGACCUGCGGUGCAUUAGCUAGUUGGUAAGGUAACGGCUUACCAAGGCAAUGAUGCAUAGCCGAGUUGAGAGACUGAUCGGCCACAUUGGGACUGAGACACGGCCCAAACUCCUACGGGAGGCAGCAGUAGGGAAUCUUCCACAAUGGACGAAAGUCUGAUGGAGCAACGCCGCGUGAGUGAAGAAGGGUCUCGGCUCGUAAAGCUCUGUUGGUAGUGAAGAAAGAUAGAGGUAGUAACUGGCCUUUAUUUGACGGUAAUUACUUAGAAAGUCACGGCUAACUACGUGCCAGCAGCCGCGGUAAUACGUAGGUGGCAAGCGUUGUCCGGAUUUAUUGGGCGUAAAGCGAGUGCAGGCGGUUCAAUAAGUCUGAUGUGAAAGCCUUCGGCUCAACCGGAGAAUUGCAUCAGAAACUGUUGAACUUGAGUGCAGAAGAGGAGAGUGGAACUCCAUGUGUAGCGGUGGAAUGCGUAGAUAUAUGGAAGAACACCAGUGGCGAAGGCGGCUCUCUGGUCUGCAACUGACGCUGAGGCUCGAAAGCAUGGGUAGCGAACAGGAUUAGAUACCCUGGUAGUCCAUGCCGUAAACGAUGAGUGAUAAGUGUUGG
rnacentral:rRNA from 1 species